AAUUAAACUUUGAACUAUGUAUCGCCUUUCUGGAGAAGUUUUUCAGGUUCAGUGAAAAUAUAAUUUGCAUAGAGAACUGAGAUGGUCACAUUGGAUCAAAAGAAAAAGAAAUUUGAUGUGUGUUACAGAGAAAAAGAGAUUCCAGGUAGGGUGAUUGAGCGGUGGGGAGAGAGGGAAGCAAAGAUCGGAUCGGUCAAUGGUGCUCGAGUUUUGAGGAGUUACCAACGGUGGGUUAUGUUCACCGGUGUCAAAAACCACCAACCAUUGUAUUCUAAUACCACACAAGUCAACUGAGUAGAGGUUAUGGAGUUAGUUUUCCUUCGUUCUUUUGCUGAUAAGGGAGGUAUUAGGAUGAGACCGGAUGCAAGAUUAUUAGAGAAACCUCGAGUUUUGAGGAGUUACCAACGGUGCGUAUGUAUGUGUAAUUUUCAGGCUUCAGAUUGAAAUUUGAAACUGGUUUCAUAUACAAUCACAAAUAUAAAAAAACGAAGAAACUAGUGUCUGUGUGUGAAAUAUGUCUGUGGGUUUUGAAGAGAAAGGGAGGGGUUAACGAUAACAUACAUCGAAGGAUGGGAUACGCCGAAGAUGUUCUAGCCUUUUGGGUUUGAUCGCCUGCGAGUAUGUGUUUGUGUGAGAGAGAGAGAGAGAGAGAGAUAAGAUAGAGAGGAGAGUUUUACUUAUUUUCUUUUUAUUAUUAUUAAUAUUUUUGUUAUUGAAAUGUUAAUAAAAUGUAAAAAAAUAUAAAAGUAAAUAAAUAAGGGUAUAACCGUCUUUUCAA